GUGCUCACUUUGGUAGCACAUACACUAAAAUUAGGACAAUACAGAAAAGAUUAGCGUGGCCCCUGCGCAAGGAUGACAUGCAAAUUCGUGAAGCAUUCCAUUAUUUA